UACGAAGGGGGCUAGCGUUACUCGGAAUCACUGGGCGUAAAGGGUGCGUAGGCGGGUCUUUAAGUCAGGGGUGAAAUCCUGGAGCUCAACUCCAGAACUGCCUUUGAUACUGAAGAUCUUGAGUUCGGGAGAGGUGAGUGGAACUGCGAGUGUAGAGGUGAAAUUCGUAGAUAUUCGCAAGAACACCAGUGGCGAAGGCGGCUCACUGGCCCGAUACUGACGCUGAGGCACG
rnacentral:rRNA from 1 species